rnacentral:rRNA from 1 species
CUACGGGGCGCUGCAGUGGGGAAUAUUGGACAAUGGGGGAAACCCUGAUCCAGCAAUGCCGCGUGUGUGAAGAAGGCCUGCGGGUUGUAAAGCACUUUCGGUUGGGAGGACUGCUUCUAGCACUAAUAUUGUUGGAAGUUGACGUUACCUUCAGAAGAAGCACCGGCUAACUCCGUGCCAGCAGCCGCGGUAAUAUGGAGGGUGCAAGCGUUAAUCGGAAUUACUGGGCGUAAAGCGCGCGUAGGCGGCUAGAUCAGUCGGGUGUGAAAGCCCCGGGCUUAACCUGGGAACUGCAUCCGAUACUGUCUAGCUUGAGUACAGGAGAGGAGAGUGGAAUUCCACAUGUAGCGGUGAAAUACGUAGAUAUGUGGAGGAACACCAAUGGCGAAGGCAGCUCUCUGGCCUGAUACUGACGCUGAGGUGCGAAAGCGUGGGGAGCAAACAGGAUUAGAUACCCCUGUAGUC